AGUGUUCCUGUUAUUGGAAAGAGACUGAAAGCACUCCCCAAAAUGCAACCAUGAAGAUCUUCAUUAAACAGUCAGGAAAGCUAAGUGAUUGAAUAUGCUGUGCGGCCCUGAGAAUGAAGGGAUUAUAUUGUCAAGUGAGACUAAAAGCUUGUAAUUAAAGCUGACUGAAUUUAAAAAGACACUACAGAGACCUUCUGUGUACCAAUAACUUUGAAAUGAGUCUGUGAUUUGCUAUUUUAAGGUUCAAGGACUUUGUCUCUAUCCAUGUGGCCGUGAUAUCUA
rnacentral:lncRNA from 1 species